rnacentral:rRNA from 2 species
UUUUUGGCAAAGUUACUAAGGGCGUAUGGUGGAUGCCUUGGCACUGGAAGGCGAUGAAGGACGCGGCUACCUGCGAUAAGCUUCGGAAAGGCGGUAACAGCCUUAGACCCGAAGAUCUCCGAAUCGGAAAACCGAAAUGAGGUAAUGCUCAUUUAUGUAUUGCUGAAUAAAUAGGCAAUAACAGGCAAACGGAGGGAACUGAAACAUCUAAGUACCUCCAGGAAGAGAAAACAAAAGUGAUUUCCUGAGUAGCGGUGAGCGAAACGGAAACAGCCUAAACCUUGAAGUGUUUAUAAGGGUGCAACCGUUGCACUUCAGGUGUUGUGGGACCUUCAGGUUGAUUUGCACUAAACCGGAGAGUUACAAAUCUUGAGGCUAACUGAAUGGCUUGGAAAGGCCAACCAUAGAGGGUGAAAGUCCUGUAAGUGAAAGUUUCAAGACUCUUGAAGGUAUCCCGAGUACCGCGGAGCACGUGAGAUUCUGUGGGAAUCUGCCGGAACCAUCCGGUAAGGCUAAAUACUCUUCAGUGACCGAUAGUGAACAAGUACCGUGAGGGAAAGGUGAAAAGUACUCCUAACAGGAGGGUGAAAUAGUAUCUGAAACCAUAUGCCUACAAACGGUAGGAGCCCCAUUUUUGGGGUGACUGCGUGCCUUUUGCUUAAUGAACCAACGAGUUACUCGUAUGUUGCCGGUUAAGUUUUUCAGAAACGAAACCAAAGCGAAAGCGAGUCCGAAUAGGGCAAAUAAUGGUAAUAUGCGGUAGACGCGAAACCGUGUGAUCUACCCUUGACCAGGAUGAAGUACCGGUAAAACGGUAUGGAGGUCCGAACCAGUAUGGGUUGAAAACCAUUUGGAUGAGUUGAGGGUAGGGGCGAAAGACUAAUCAAACUCGGAAAUAGCUCGUACUCCCCGAAAUAGCUUUAGGGCUAGCCUCGGAUAAAAGUGUACAGGAGGUAGAGCACUAAUUGGGCUAGGGCUGUCACAACGGUACCAACCCCAAAUAAACUCCGAAUUCCUGCUACAUGUUUUCCGGGAGUCAGGCUGUGGGGGAUAAGCUUCAUAGCCGAAAGGGAAAUAACCCAGAUCACCGAUUAAGGUCCCCAAAUCUACGUUAACAGACUAAGGAUGUUGAGUUGCUAAGACAACUAGGAUGUUGGCUUAGAAGCAGCCACUCAUUUAAAGAGUGCGUAAUAGCUCACUAGUCAAGCGACUCAGCGCCGAUAAUACACGGGACUAAACGUAGUACCGAAAUCGUGAACUCCGAUUUAUCGGAGUGGUAGGGGAGCAUUCCAUAGACGACUUAAGAAUUAAGGUCCUUCGGGACGAAGGUGUGGCGCGAGCCAUGCUGGAGUAUAUGGAAAAGAAAAUGUUGGUAUGAGUAACGAUAAAUGCCGCGAAAAACGGCAUCACCGAAAAUCUAAGGUUUCCUGAGCAAUGUUAAUCAUCUCAGGGUUAGUCGGUCCCUAAGCCGAGGCCGAAAGGCGUAGGUGAUGGGAAACAGGUUAAAUAUUCCUGUACCAUCGACCCUUAACCUAAAGUGACGCAGAAGUGAAAGGAGAGCCACCUGUUGGAUUAGGUGGUCUAACGGCGUAGUUUCGACGAAACCGGAACGGGAUGGCGUAAGCCUGCAAACUCUCCCUAAUCAUGCUGCCAAGAAAAGCUUUAGCGUAUGCUAAGAUGUCCGUACCGCAAACCGACACAGGUAGAUAGGUUGAGUAUACUAAGGUGCUCGAGUUAGCCGUGGUCAAGGAACUCGGCAAAUUAACCCCGUAACUUCGGAAGAAGGGGUGCCACAUUUAGGUGUGGCCGCAGAGAAAUGAGCCAAGCGACUGUUUAGCAAAAACAUAUGUCUAUGCAAAGCCUUUAAGGCGAAGUAUAUGGACUGACACCUGCCCGGUGCUGGAAGGUUAAGAGGAGAGGUUAGUUCUUCGGAGCGAAGCUUUGAAUUGAAGCCCCAGUAAACGGCGGCCGUAACUAUAACGGUCCUAAGGUAGCGAAAUUCCUUGUCGGGUAAGUUCCGACCUGCACGAAUGGUGUAACGAUUUGGUUACUGUCUCGACCACGAGCUCGGUGAAAUUGUGGUACCGGUGAAGACGCCGGUUACCCGCAUACGGACGAGAAGACCCCGUGCACCUUUACUGCAACUUAACAUUGUGUUUGGACAAAGCAUGUGUAGAAUAGGUGGGAGACUGUGAAGCUGUGGCGCUAGCCAUGGUGGAGUCGAAAAGUGAAAUACCACCCUUGCUUUGUUUGAAUUCUAACCUGGACCCUUGAAUCAGGGUUGGGGACAGUGUUAGGUGGGUAGUUUGACUGGGGCGGUCGCCUCCUAAAUUGUAACGGAGGCUUUCAAAGGUACCUUCAGUAUGGUUGGUAAUCAUGCGCAGAGUGCAAAGGCAUAAGGGUGCUUAACUGUGAGACUUACAAGUCGAACAGAUGCGAAAGCAGGACUUAGUGAUCCGGCGGUUGUGUGUGGAAACGCCGUCGCUUAAAGGAUAAAAGGUACGCCGGGGAUAACAGGCUGAUCUCCCCCAAGAGUUCACAUCGACGGGGAGGUUUGGCACCUCGAUGUCGGCUCAUCGCAUCCUGGGGCUGGAGAAGGUCCCAAGGGUUUGGCUGUUCGCCAAUUAAAGCGGUACGUGAGCUGGGUUCAGAACGUCGUGAGACAGUUCGGUCUCUAUCCUAUGCGGGCGCAGGAUAAUUGAGAGGGGUCGCUCUUAGUACGAGAGGACCGGAGCGAACGAAUCAAUGGUGUAUCAGUUGUCACGCCAGUGGCAUCGCUGAGUAGCUAUAUUCGGUCGAGAUAAGCGCUGAAAGCAUCUAAGCGCGAAACUCGCCUCAAGAUUAAUUAUCCCUUCCUUCGGGAAAUAAGACUCCAGAGAGAUUAUCUGGUAAUAGGCUGCAGGUACAAGCAUGGUAACAUGUUUAGCCGAGCAGUACUAAUAAGUCGAAUGACUUGCCAUUUUUU